rnacentral:rRNA from 1 species
CUCCUACGGGUGGCUGCAGUGGGGAAUUUUGGACAAUGGGCGCAAGCCUGAUCCAGCCAUGCCGCGUGCGGGAAGAAGGCCUUCGGGUUGUAAACCGCUUUUGUCAGGGAAGAAACGGCCUUUUCUAAUACAGAGGGCUAAUGACGGUACCUGAAGAAUAAGCACCGGCUAACUACGUGCCAGCAGCCGCGGUAAUACGUAGGGUGCAAGCGUUAAUCGGAAUUACUGGGCGUAAAGCGUGCGCAGGCGGCUUUGCAAGACAGAUGUGAAAUCCCCGGGCUCAACCUGGGAACUGCAUUUGUGACUGCAUGGCUAGAGUACGGUAGAGGGGGAUGGAAUUCCGCGUGUAGCAGUGAAAUGCGUAGAUAUGCGGAGGAACACCGAUGGCGAAGGCAAUCCCCUGGACCUGUACUGACGCUCAUGCACGAAAGCGUGGGGAGCAAACAGGAUUAGAUACCCUGGUAGUCCACGCCCUAAACGAUGUCAACUGGUUGUUGGACGGCUUGCUGUUCAGUAACGAAGCUAACGCGUGAAGUG